ensembl:lncRNA
GUCCUGUUUCCCCCCAGCAUGAAACUCUUAUCUCAAGGGAGAAACUCUGAAUAGGCCACGCUGAGAAAAGCAAGCACCAAGGCUGCAAACCCAUUUGCCCCGGCAGCUGCCCUGGGCUGUCUUCCGUAGGAAGGCAACAAGGCCAUUUGGAGCUGCCCAUUUGCUCCCCAGACACAUGGCGUGUGCCCAGGUCUCGUGCAGCCUUGACGUGAGUUAAGUCCUUCCAAGUAGGGCAUGGUGAGCCAAUCCAGCUAACACCAUCUUUUACGGCCGCCCAAGGAACAUUUCAACUUUCUCAUUUUGUUCAACAGAGAAUGUUUACCAAGUAUCUAUUUGGCCUGGAAAACAGAGAGGCCACAUUAAAAAUAACGAAAUGUGUUUGCCAGUUCAACGUUUCCAGACCUGAUAUUCAGACACCUCCUAACAACCCCCAACCUCAGAUCUAAGUUUGGCGUCCAACUCUGGGACUACAUGUCUCAUCCUCUGUGACAGCUGGGAGGAUGUCUGUUACCACACACUUAAUGAUAUUAUCCCAUCGCUUUCAUCUUCAUCGUUUUAAGUUGAGGCAACCAAAUUGCAUUUGUCUGUGGCAGCUACAAGAGGAUAUUUAUUUUUAAGUUGAUCUCAUCUUCUCAUUCUCAGAAAUUGAUGAAUGAAUAGAAGAUGCACAAUCCAAGCUGUGGCCAAGAAGUCCAAGAUCAUACGCAUGUGAGAUUGGGGAUAAUCACCCACCUAUGAAGACAGCAGUAGGAUGCUCAUUAAGACUCAGUCGACAACACUUUUAGGUAAAGUUCACGCUGUUUGGAAAGCACGUUUCAUGCCUGGUGUCAAAACCUCCAAAAGCACAUGGAAAAGUAAAGGAGCCGGUCCAUGAUGACCACCCAACAUGAUUAUGACAAGUAACCACGGAAUUUGAAGAACAAACCUUGGCUGCUUCUUCGCUUAGUGACCCAAGUGCCAUUUCUUUGCAGCGCUCAUAGGUCUGCGCUACACUGAAAAUGCUAAGUUAUGUUUGCACCAGGACAAUAAAAUCCUACUCAGCAAUAAAGGAGAAGAAGCUAUUGACAAACAUGACAACGUGGGCAAAUCUCAAAGGCAGGAUGCUGGGGGAAAGAGGACAGGCUCGAAAGGUUAAAUACUGCCUGGGUCCAUUUACGUGACUUUCUGGAAAAGGCAAGACUGGAGCGGGAGCAGUAAAGCAUUUAGAGAGAUAUUUUAAAAAUGCCCCAGGCCACGGGGCCCUGACCACUCCUGGCGUGGCGAUUGGAGUGCUCCAGGGCGAGGAGAAAGUGGAGAUUCUGGAACUGCAUGAAGAGCACUAGCUUCCUUGCCUCAAUUCCUCUUUCACUUUCCACAAAAAGACAAGGGAACUGCAGGCUGUGGUUGACAUACAUGAAAGGGCCAUUCACAGGAAAAGGAUUGCUCAUUCGCUCAUGCAAUGGUGAUAGUGAACCACAGGCUCAUCGCAUCAGAGGAGAGUGCUUGACUUCUCCAAGGAUGAGAUGCAUGGUGACAGUGAGGACCAGAAGGUGCCAUCCGCCUGAUGCUUGUGCUGAGAGAGCUGCUCGGAGCGCAACAUCACAAUCAAACAUGAUCUUCCUCUUUGCCCCGUCAGCCAACCUUUUCAGCAGCGCAACUUCAGACGGACAACGGGAGAGUCUCUAAGCUUUUUCGGUGGUAGCCUGCUGCACCAAACAUCCUCAGGAGCUGUUGAUUCUUUCCCCCUUGGCUGACUGUAAGCUGUGAAACGAGGCAAAAAUGAAGCCCCUCCGUGUCUGCAGCAUGAAGGAAGGUGGGGGGCAAAGAAUCACUUGCUCUGGGAGAGCUGACGCCAUGUCAGGAGGACACUCAAGCAGGCCUGUGGAGAAGGACGUGUGGAGAGGAACGAGGCCUCCUCACAACAGCCAGCAUCACGUUUCCAUCUGGAUGAGUGAGCCGUCCUGGAAACGGAUCCUCCAGCCCCAGUGACGCCUUCCCAUGACCGCAGCCCUGGCCGACAUCUUGACUGCAGCCUCAUGAGAGACCUUGAGCCAGAAAUACCCAGUUAAACGGCUCCUGGAUUCCUGACCCACAGAAACUGUGUGAGAUAAACGCUUAUUGCUGUUUUAGGCUGCUAAAUUCUGGGGUAAUUUAUUAUAGAGCAAUAAGUAAACAAUAUACUAUUAUUGUAAAUGGUUGUAUGAGUAUCAGUAAAGAGAGACCUCCC